rnacentral:ncRNA from 2 species
AGGAAACUUAUAGCGCCUGAACAAAGCGCAUACACGAUUGUAGAGGCAUGUAUAAUCAGAUACAUGCUGAAUGAGUGUUAUGACCUUUGUUGACGAGGAGGAUAGUUAUCGAAUUUUCGGCGGAUGCUAUCCCGGAUGUGGCCCAUUCGAAGUUCAAUGUUUAAAGCAUAUAGGUGACUGUAUGUCCAAAGACGUUGAAAUAGCCAUAA